rnacentral:rRNA from 1 species
GUGAGGAAUAUUGCGCAAUGGAGGCAACUCUGACGCAGCCAUGCCGCGUGCAGGAAGAAGGCGCUACGCGUUGUAAACUGCUUUUAACCGGGAAGAAACCCCAGGACGUGUCCUGGGUUGACGGUACCGGAGGAAUAAGCACCGGCUAACUUCGUGCCAGCAGCCGCGGUAAUACGAAGGGUGCAAGCGUUAUCCGGAUUCAUUGGGUUUAAAGGGUGCGUAGGCGGAGCGUUAAGUCAGUGGUGAAAUCCUGCAGCUUAACUGUAGACUUGCCAUUGAUACUGGCGCUCUUGAGUGCGCUUGAAGUGGGCGGAAUGUGCCGUGUAGCGGUGAAAUGCUUAGAUAUGGCACAGAACACCAAUUGCGAAGGCAGCUCACUAAGGCGAUACUGACGCUGAGGCACGAAAGCGUGGGGAUCGACCAGGAUUAGAUACCCGAGUAGUCC